rnacentral:rRNA from 1 species
UACGAAGGGGGCUAGCGUUGUUCGGAUUUACUGGGCGUAAAGCGCACGUAGGCGGACUUUUAAGUCAGGGGUGAAAUCCUGGAGCUCAACUCCAGAACUGCCUUUGAUACUGGCGAUCUUGAGUACGGGAGAGGUGUGUGGAACUCCGAGUGUAGAGGUGAAAUUCGUAGAUAUUCGGAAGAACACCAGUGGCGAAGGCGACACACUGGCCCGUUACUGACGCUGAGGCGCGAAAGCGUGGGGAGCAAACAGGG